rnacentral:rRNA from 1 species
AUUGAACGCUGGCGGCAGGCCUAACACAUGCAAGUCGAACGAGUGGCGGACGGGUGAGUAAUGUCUGGGAAACUGCCUGAUGGAGGGGGAUAACUACUGGAAACGGUAUCUAAUACCGCAUACCAUCAGAUGUGCCCACAUGGGAUUAGCUAGUAGGUGGGGUAACGGCUCACCUAGGCGACGAUCCCUAGCUGGUCUGAGAGGAUGACCAGCCCCACUGGAAAUGAGACACGGUCCAGACUCCUACGGGAGGCAGCAGUAGGGAAUAUUGCACAAUGGGCGCAAGCCUGAUGCAGCCAUGCCGCGUGUAUGAAGAAGGCCUUCGGGUUGUAAAGUUCUUUCAGCGGGGAAGCGUUACCGGCAGAAGAAGCACCGGCUAACUACGUGCCAGCAGCCGCGGUAAUAC